rnacentral:snRNA from 1 species
GUGCUUGCUUUGGCAGCACAUAUACUAAAAUUGGAGCAAUACAAAGAAGCAUGCCCAUAUGCAAGGAUAACAUGCAAAUUUGUGAAGCAUCCUAUAUUCUU